UAGACAGGUCGGGUCACCGCUUCUUCGUAAGAAGGAGAGGAAAGUCCGGGCUCCAUAGAGCAUGACGCCGGCUAACUCCCGGGGAUCCCGUAAGGGAUAACAGAAAGUGCCACAGAAAAUAUACCGCCGGUUUACCGGUAAGGGUGAAAAGGUGGGGUAAAAGCCCACCGCACCCUGGGUAACCAGGGUGGCAGGGCAAACCUCGUCAGGAGCAAAACCAAGCAGUAAAGGGGUGGCUCGCCUGAGUCUUUACGGGUAGGUUGCUGGACUCAUUGGGUAACCAGUGAGACAGAUAGAUGGUGACCCACGACAGAACCCGGCUUACAGACCUGUCUUUUUU
rnacentral:RNase_P_RNA from 2 species